CUAACCAACACAAAGAGGUUGCCUGGCCCUACAAGAUUGGAUAGGCACCAUUUUUGGCAUCAGCCGUAGUGGGAGAUCAUUACAGGCAGUGGCGUGGGAGAGAAGGAAAAUGGCAGGGCAGCCAGGAGGACUAAGCUGUGGCACCUUUUCCAGAUAUUUAUGAAGUACUUAUAUGGUGUUCACUAUGUUCCAGGUGUACCAAGAUUAAAAAAGAAGAAGUUUAAGAGUUCUGAAGUGGAGACAAUCUGAUGACUAUUUGCAGGAAAAAAGCUAGAAAAAAAUGGAAGAAAAUACUGUACUUAAAAGAGUGCCAAAACCCACUAUUACAACAUCAGCAACAAGAAAAACUGAAGGAAAAUGAAAGAAGAAACAAAUGAAAAUACAUAUCCUAUUCAUUAAGAAGAAGAUUUAAUGAUGUAAAGAUGCAAAUUUUCUCUAAAUUAACCUUUAUGUUUAAUUUUAGAUCAGUAAAAAACACAUUAUGAGAUUA
rnacentral:lncRNA from 1 species